UGCACCAACCGGGAGUCGAACCCGGGUCAACCGCUUGGGAAGCGGCCAUUCUACCGUUGAACCAUUGGUGC
rnacentral:tRNA from 1 species